rnacentral:rRNA from 1 species
UACGAAGGAUCCAAGCGUUAUCCGGAUUUACUGGGUUUAAAGGGUGCGCAGGCGGAUAUGUAAGUCAGUGGUGAAAUCUCUAGGCUUAACCUGGAAAUUGCCGUUGAUACUAUAUAUCUUGAAUGUUGUGGAGGUAAGCAGAAUAUGUCAUGUAGCGGUGAAAUGCUUAGAUAUGACAUAGAAUACCUAUUGCGAAGGCAGCUUACUACGCAGAUAUUGACGCUCAUGCACGAAAGCGUGGGGAUCAAACAGG